rnacentral:rRNA from 1 species
UACGGAGGGUGCAAGCGUUGUCCGGAUUUAUUGGGUUUAAAGGGUGCGUAGGUGGGUUCUCAAGUCUGGUUUGAAAGUUAGCUGCUCAACAGUUAGACGUGACUGGAAACUGGGGUUCUGGAAUGGGGUGGCGGCUGGCGGAACGUGUGAUGUAGCGGUGAAAUGCAUAGAUAUGACCAAGAACACCGAUUGCGAAGGCAGGCAGCUACGACCUGAUUGACACUGAGGCACGAGAGCAUGGGGAGCGAACAGG